rnacentral:rRNA from 1 species
CGGACGGGUGAGUAACGCGUGGGGAACCUGCCCUGUACCGGGGGAUAGCAGCCGGAAACGGCUGAUAAUACCGCAUAAGCGCACGAAUGUCGCAUGACAUGGUGUGAAAAACUCCGGUGGUAUAGGAUGGACCCGCGUCUGAUUAGCCGGUUGGUGGGGUAAAAGCCUACCAAAGCGAAGAUCAGUAGCCGAGUUGAGAGACUGACCGGCCACAUUGGGACUGAGACACGGCCCAGACUCCUACGGGAGGCAGCAG